rnacentral:rRNA from 1 species
GGACGAACGCUGGCGGCGUGCCUAAUACAUGCAAGUCGAGCGGACAGAUGGGAGCUUGCUCCCUGAUGUCAGCGGCGGACGGGUGAGUAACACGUGGGUAACCUGCCUGUAAGACUGGGAUAACUCCGGGAAACCGGGGCUAAUACCGGAUGCUUGAUUGAACCGCAUGGUUCAAUUAUAAAAGGUGGCUUUUAGCUACCACUUACAGAUGGACCCGCGGCGCAUUAGCUAGUUGGUGAGGUAACGGCUCACCAAGGCAACGAUGCGUAGCCGACCUGAGAGGGUGAUCGGCCACACUGGGACUGAGACACGGCCCAGACUCCUACGGGAGGCAGCAGUAGGGAAUCUUCCGCAAUGGACGAAAGUCUGACGGAGCAACGCCGCGUGAGUGAUGAAGGUUUUCGGAUCGUAAAACUCUGUUGUUAGGGAAGAACAAGUACCGUUCGAAUAGGGCGGUACCUUGACGGUACCUAACCAGAAAGCCACGGCUAACUACGUGCCAGCAGCCGCGGUAAUACGUAGGUGGCAAGCGUUGUCCGGAAUUAUUGGGCGUAAAGCGCGCGCAGGCGGUUUCUUAAGUCUGAUGUGAAAGCCCCCGGCUCAACCGGGGAGGGUCAUUGGAAACUGGGGAACUUGAGUGCAGAAGAGGAGAGUGGAAUUCCACGUGUAGCGGUGAAAUGCGUAGAGAUGUGGAGGAACACCAGUGGCGAAGGCGACUCUCUGGUCUGUAACUGACGCUGAGGCGCGAAAGCGUGGGGAGCGAACAGGAUUAGAUACCCUGGUAGUCCACGCCGUAAACGAUGAGUGCUAAGUGUUAGAGGGUUUCCGCCCUUUAGUGCUGCAGCAAACGCAUUAAGCACUCCGCCUGGGGAGUAC